rnacentral:misc_RNA from 1 species
AUGUUUUUUUUUUUUUUUUUUUGACUUGCUUUUCCGGCUUCUAGCAUGACAGUUUUAUGGGUUCCACAAAAUGAAAUGAACUGAUUUUUAAUUAUUACUUCUAUACCUUCUAAUUAUUUAUUCCCAUGGCCAUGACCUUCCUACAGUAACUAUCUGCAUUUGAAAUAGUUGGUGUGCUUUAACACUAUAGUUUAAUAUUAAAAUCCGCUACAAAUAUUUGGGUGGUGGCCUUAAUUUUGAUCCUUUUUUAGGUCCUAGAUUUAAUUUAAAUUCUAAAGCAAAAACCAUUCUCAUAUUCAUCUUGUUGAUGUUGGUUUCAAUUUGUGGCACAUUUAUGAAACUGCAUCAUUUUGUUUUUGUAACCAUCAGUUGGAACCAGUGAAUUUCUGAUCUUCAACUUUGGAUCAAAUUUCUUCUAGCUUGAUGGAGUUGUUCAUAUAUGUUUCCAUGAUGACCAAACAUUUUGUUGAUCAUGGAGUAUCAACAUUUCGAGUUUUUUGUUUUUUUUUUUUUAAGUGAACUGACAUCCUGUUGAGUUCAUGAAUUGAUCUAUACUUGUAGGGGCAGAGCUAGAAAAUUAUUUUUGAGGCGGCUAACAUUAUUGAUUCAAUAUA